rnacentral:rRNA from 1 species
GACGAACGCUGGCGGCGUGCCUAAUACAUGCAAGUCGAACGCAGUGGGGACGGGUGAGUAACACGUGGGUAACCUCCCAUCAGAGGGGAUAACACUUGGAAACAGGUGCUAAACCGAUACUGAUGGAUGCACCCGCGGUGCAUUAGCUAGUUGGUGGGGUAACGGCUAACCCAGUCCACGAUGCAUAGCCGACCUGAGAGUGUGAUGGGACACACGGGGACUGAGAAACGGCCCAGACUCCUACGGGAGGCAGCAGUAGGGAAUCGUCGGCAAUGGACGAAAGUCUGACCGAGCAACGCCGCGUGAGUGAAGAAGGUUUUCGGAUCGUAAAACGCUGUUGUUAGAGAAGCGGUAUCUAACCAGAAAGCCACGGCUAACUACGUGCCAGCCGCCGCGGUAAUUC